GUAACACUCUAAGAAUUUAAAAUAGUUAUAUAUAAAAAUUUUGAUAGAACUAAACCUUUUACCCCAGUUAUAGUAUUUUAAGUAUUGUUUAUGCUUAAAAGAUUAUGAGAAUUAAGCGAGUUAGAGUAGUUCUAAGAAGGCUGACCACUCUGUGAGGUAGGACGUCACAGUUAGAAGUAGAAUCAAUAAUCAAUCGGAAAUGUGAGAUAAGAUUCGACUACUGAGUUAGAAUCAUAUAGGGGGCGGAGCGCAGUUGACUAUAAGAUCGGCUAAUGUUAGCGACGCGAGUCUCACAUUGUGAGACUCCAAAUAAUUCUACAUAUAAAGUAUAAUAGGGUUAAAACUUUUAACCCGACUUAAACAUUUUGGAUGGUGAUUAGGUCCAAGAGGCUAAAAGAGUUAAGCGUGCUAGGACGAGAGUAGUCUUAGGAUGGAUGACCCUCUAGGAAGUUGGGACGUUACAGUUGGUAUCAGAACCAAUUAUCAGCCGGAAGUGUAAGAUGAGCCUCGACUAAGUCAAAGUUAUACAACGGGAAUAGUGAAACUCUCAUACUGUUGACUAUUGUGUAUAGAGUGCGGCUUCCCUAUAAGGUCGGUUUAUACUAGCGAGACGAGUCUCAUAUUGUCUGGUACUUGUGAGUCUGAGCCUAACGAGAACGUCGGGGCUUAACAAAAGGGAGAAUGUGAGAUCCCAGAUAAUUCUAUAUAUAGGAUAUAAUAUGGUUAAAACUUUUAACCCGGCUUAAGCAUUUUAGGUGGUGGCUAAAUCCUAAAGGUUAAAAGAGUUAAACGUGUUAGGACGGGAAUAGUCAUAGAAUAGGUGAUCCCCUAAAAAGUUGGGGCGUCACACACAUCGUCUGAUACUUAUAAGUGUGCUUGAUUUUAACGAAAUAUGCUUGAGUCUAACGAGAAUGUCAGAACUUAGAAAAAAAGGAUGUGACACUCCUAAAAUUUAAAAUAGUUAUAUACAUA
rnacentral:lncRNA from 1 species